rfam:Vitis vinifera, whole genome shotgun sequence of line PN40024, unoriented chromosome 9, chr9
ACCUACUUAAUUCAGUGGUUAAAGUAUUGCUUUCAUACCGUGGGAGUCAUUGGUUCAAAUCCAAUAGUAGGUA